rnacentral:rRNA from 1 species
GCGUAAGAGUUCGUAGGUGGUUCGUUACGUCGGAUGUGAAAAUCUGGGGCUCAACCCCAGACCUGCAUUCGAUACGGGCGAGCUAGAGUUUGGUAGGGGAGACUGGAAUUCCUGGUGUAGCGGUGGAAUGCGCAGAUAUCAGGAGGAACACCAAUGGCGAAGGCAGGUCUCUGGGCCAAUACUGACACUGAGGAACGAAAGCGUGGGGAGCGAACAGGAUUAGAUACCCUGGUAGUCCACGCCGUAAACGGUGGGCGCUAGUUGUGGGGACCUUCCACGGUCUCUGCGACGCAGCUAACGCAUUAAGCGCCCCGCCUGGGGAGUACGAUCGCAAGAUUAAAACUCAAAGGAAUUGACGGGGCCCCGCACAAGCAGCGGAGCAUGCGGCUUAAUUCGACGCAACGCGAAGAACCUUACCAAGGCUUGACAUAUAGGGAAAAGCGGCAGAGAUGUCGUGUCCGCAAGGGCUCUAUACAGGUGGUGCAUGGUUGUCGUCAGCUCGUGUCGUGAGAUGUUGGGUUAAGUCCCGCAACGAGCGCAACCCUCGUUCUGUGUUGCCAGCAUUUAGUUGGGGACUCACAGGAGACUGCCGGGGUUAACUCGGAGGAAGGUGGGGAUGACGUCAAAUCAUCAUGCCCCUUAUGUCUUGGGCUGCACGCAUGCUACAAUGGCCGAUACAAAGGGCUGCAAUACCGCAAGGUGGAGCGAAUC